UACGUAGGGGGCAAGCGUUGUCCGGAAUCAUUGGGCGUAAAGCGCGUGUAGGCGGCUGAGUAAGUCUGCUCUGAAAGCCCGGGGCUCAACCCCGGGAGGCGGGUGGAUACUGCUCAGCUCGAGUCCGGAAGAGGAGUGUGGAAUUCCUGGUGUAGCGGUGAAAUGCGCAGAUAUCAGGAGGAACACCAAUGGCGAAGGCAGCACUCUGGGACGGUACUGACGCUGAGACGCGACAGCGUGGGGAGCAAACAGG
rnacentral:rRNA from 1 species